rnacentral:rRNA from 1 species
GACGAACGCUGGCGGCGUGCUUAACACAUGCAAGUCGAACGAAGUGGCGAACGGGUGAGUAACGCGUAAUCAACCUGCCCUUCAGAGGGGGACAACAGUUGGAAACGAAUGCUAAUACCGAAUACUGAGGGAGGGGAUUGCGUCUGAUUAGCUAGGUGGAGGGGUAACGGCACACCAAGGCGAUGAUCAGUAGCCGGGCGGAGAGGAUGAACGACCCCAUUGGGACUGAGACACGGCCCAGACUCCUACACUAGUCAUCAAUGCUAAAUCUUCCGCAAUGGACGAAAGUCUGACGUAGCAACGCCGCGUGAUUGAUGACGGCCUUCGGGUUUUAAAACUCUGUUAAUCGGGACGCGGUACCGGAAUAGAAAGCCACGGCUAACUACGUGCCAGCAGCCGCGGUAAUUC